AGGCCGGAGAUCGCCUCCUCGUUGCCGCGCAGGGGCUCAGGCCCGGGGGCCAGCAACGCAGCCCCCCCAGGACAGGCUGGGAAAACCAGAUCCCGGGGCGAACCUGCGAACCUGUGGCCGCGCUGUGCCCCCAGGUAGGCGUCUCGGAGCCAGGGGGAAUCCUGGGAAAAGCACGGCGCAGGCAGAAGGAGGCAGGGCCACGGGCACGCGCGCAAGAAGGCUGGAAAAUUCCAGGGAAAUUCCCCGUUGGUCACCUUUCGGUAGUCAGAACAGCAAGAGGGGAAAAAAUAAAAGGGCCGUGUCUGAAGGCUGGCUUUAGGUCUUCGAGCAGGGGUUGAGGUUCCAUGGAAACCAGGAGCGAGCAGCAGACGUGAGUGAAGAGCACCUGCUGUCUGCGCCGCUGGUCUGUUUGUUUUGCAUCUCUGCGCGCCUCCGGCCCCACGUUGCGCUAUUUCCAGCGCGCAUGGUUGACGCACGCGACGCCGCGGCGCAGAGCCGGUCUCGACCGGUCUCGGCACCACGGCAACCGACGCCGCAUCUGUGUUUACCAAUAAUCCAGAUCACCAUGACGAUCGACGCCAGAACACACACACACACACGCACGCACACACACACGUGUUCUCACGCCCGGGAGGCCCUGGCGUCACUCGAGACGACAUUGCGGUCGAGAGACCAAAGCCAGAAGCGUCAGGCCUGACAGGAAGUGAUGUCACGGGGUUCACAGUGACAGUGACGCAGGUGUGUGUGUGUGUGCCCUCUGUGUUUUUUUUUUCCAGGAAGAGAGGCAAACCCGAGACAGAGGAGCGAGGCCGACGCGGCGCGCCCAGGUGCCCUGCCCGUGCGAGCACGCGGGGAAGAGCGUCACCCCACAGGGCACCAGCAGAGGGGUCUCAACGACACACGCACCCCCCCAGCCGCCACCUCCAGAACUAACACAACCCGAACUCCGGGCCCGACGGGCAGCUGAGCUCACAAGCUCAAGCUCAAACAGAUUCGUCUUGCUUACAGUAUCGGGGUGCCUUAGAAACUGCAACACUGCGAUCCCGUAGUCAGAGCUGAACUUCGAAAACGGCAACAUCAAGCGAGCGUCCCGAGUGUGGGUUCUAACGGACCGCAGCCAAACCUACUGCACAAAAAUGCCUCCCUGAUGCUCUUUUGUUACUACUUUUUUUUAAACGCAGGAGACGAGGCAGAGCCGGGACCUGCCAUGCCAACGCCACAACCCAAGUGGGAACCAGACACUCGAACCCAAGUCCCACCUUGCUGUGACGGGAUUAGGGAAGUCACUCCACUGGGCCUCCUCCCUCCUUUGACAGUCAUUGACAGUUAAAGCCCUUUAGAGGCAGGCUCCUGCUGGUCUAGUGCUGGGUUUCGUGCCUGUCGUAGUACCAGCUCUGCAGGCAGGCUGGGAGGGACUAAAGGAGAUCUGGGAGUCGAGGAGCCCGAUUUCCUGGCUCGGUGAAGUGUUUGCUCAUUUCCUCGCUGAAAGGCGCUGAAGUGCUGUUGCAGAACGAGCCCAGCAGUCCAGCAGCCUCUUCGCGAGGCGAGAGCAAAAGGACGCGCUGUUGUCCGCUUCCUCGCGGUAAAACCGUUUGGUACCGGAACAGCGGAGGCCUCAGGGAACAGCGAGGGGUGCUGGCAGAGGCCUGAAGGCACUGAAGACACUGAAGAGCUCCUCAGUGUCGCAUGCAGGGAAACACGGAGAGCUGAGCCUGUUUGAUCCAGGCUGAGUGAAAGUGAGAAAGAGAGGCAGACAGACAGUUGAAGAUUUUCGGUUUCCGACGGAGUGGGGCAAACAGGGCAGGUGGGGCGGUGAGGGUCAGAGGACAAGUAGGGCAGUGAAAGAGUUCGUUCUGAGUAAGUAAUGGUGAUAAGACGUUUCUGUUCCAGCAGAAAAAAACAGUUCUAAAAAAACCUCCUUUUGCCAAUCAACAGCUAAAGUCGGUUGCAAGGCAAAGAAGUCAUGCUUGCAAGCGGACCUUGAGGACGACGCAGAAAUGGCAGCUCUGUGCUGCAUCUUCUGACUCCACGGCAGAAGAUGUUGGCUCCUUCAUUUAAUUCCAUUGCAGGCUCCUGCAGACCGUCCUCGUUUACAUGGUCUUCCGCUCGUUAUGCAAUUGAGGGUCAAUCACACCAUUAAAAUGUAGGUGAGACCACUGCAGCACAGUGGCGUGGAAA